CGGCGCCAACAAUUUAUAAAUGAACCAAAAGUGUUGAAUGAGCUACUGACUGAGUAUCCAGCUCUUCAGCUUGUUUCAGAGGUAAAAGCAGAAUUUGGUCGAAUUUUGGCAGACCAAAAUGCAGCCAGCAACAUGGUUAUCCAUUACAAUAAUAUGGUUCAAAAUGUAAUAAAAUGGGCAGGCAAUAGUGACAACAAACACAUAAAAAUAUUGAUGUCAGACAUGGAGGCCAUGCUGUUGCAAAAACCUAAUAAGGAAGCUGAUAUAAGGAGUGCAGUUACAGCAUUGAUUAUUCAGGUUGUGUUGAAUGAAAAAUCCACGGCAAAUUGCUUAGUUUUCAAGAUCUGCUGCGAAGAUGACUCUUUUGAUGAUGAAAUAGCAAACACCACCUACCCACGACUAAUUGGAUCGGGAGAAUUAGGGAGUCUGGACCCCCUUGUAAUUGCUACCGAAGGGCAAAUUUUUUUAGAUCUGUCAAAAAAAAAUAUAGAAAUUUCAUUGUCUAUAGUACUACUUCUAGGUACAUUUUAUGUACUUAAUAUGGAGUAUACACCAAAGGCCUGUAACAUUUAUGCCCUUUUGGAAGUAGUUUUGAUGGGUAAGCCCGCAAAUGCAAAGAAAAGGGUUUCAGUUCAAAAGUUUGUGAAAAGUUUGGGGCUUGAGAGAUUAUAAUAUAGUAGUAUUUCUAAGAUGUUUUAUAUAUUUAGUUAUAUAUAUAUACAUUUAACUUUACUUGUUUCAUAUAUUGACUUGUUUAUAGUAUGUUUUAUGUUUUGUAUAUAUUUAUAUGUGUGAAUACAUGCAUAUAAAUCAUUU